GACGUAGGGCGCGAGCGUUGUCCGGAUUUAUUGGGCGUAAAGAGCUCGUAGGCGGCUCGUUGCGUCGGCUGUGAAAACCCGCAGCUCAACUGUGGGCUUGCAGCUGAUACGGGCGGGCUGGGAUUCGGUAGGGAGGACUGGAAUUCCUGGUGUAGCGGUGAAAUGCGCAGAUGUCAGGAGGAACACCAGCGGCGAAGGCGGCGCUCUGGCCGGUACUGACACUGAGGAGCGAAACGUGCGAGGAGAACAUG
rnacentral:rRNA from 1 species